GUGGGUAGUUUGACUGGGGCGGUCUCCUCCUAAAGAGUAACGGAGGAGCACGAAGGUUGGCUAAUCCUGGUCGGACAUCAGGAGGUUAGUGCAAUGGCAUAAGCCAGCUUGACUGCGAGCGUGACGGCGCGAGCAGGUGCGAAAGCAGGUCAUAGUGAUCCGGUGGUUCUGAAUGGAAGGGCCAUCGCUCAACGGAUAAAAGGUACUCCGGGGAUAACAGGCUGAUACCGCCCAAGAGUUCAUAUCGACGGCGGUGUUUGGCACCUCGAUGUCGGCUCAUCACAUCCUGGGGCUGAAGUAGGUCCCAAGGGUAUGGCUGUUCGCCAUUUAAAGUGGUACGCGAGCUGGGUUUAGAACGUCGUGAGACAGUUCGGUCCCUAUCUGCCGUGGGCGCUGGAGAACUGAGGGGGGCUGCUCCUAGUACGAGAGGACCGGAGUGGACGCAUCACUGGUGUUCGGGUUGUCAUGCCAAUGGCACUGCCCGGUAGCUAAAUGCGGAAGAGAUAAGUGCUGAAAGCAUCUAAGCACGAAACUUGCCCCGAGAUGAGUUCUCCCUGACUCUUUAAGGGUCCUGAAGGAACGUUGAAGACGACGACGUUAAUAGGCCGGGUGUGUAAGCGCAGCGAUGCGUUGAGCUAACCGGUACUAAUGAACCGUGAGGCUUAACCUUACAACGCCGAAG
rnacentral:rRNA from 1 species